rnacentral:rRNA from 1 species
UACGUAGGGUGCGAGCGUUAAUCGGAAUUACUGGGCGUAAAGCGUGCGCAGGCGGUUCGCCGUGUCCGAUGUGAAAGCCCCGGGCUCAACCUGGGAAUGGCAAUGGAUACUGGCAAGCUAGAGUGCGGUAGAGGGUAGUGGAAUUCCCGGUGUAGCGGUGAAAUGCGUAGAUAUUGGGAAGAACACCUGAGGCGAAGGCGGGUUGCUGGGCCGACACUGACGCUGAGGCGCGAAAGCCAGGGGAGCAAACGGG